GACGUAGGGCGCGAGCGUUUGUCCGGAUUUAUUGGGCGUAAAGAGCUCGUAGGCGGUUUGUCGCGUCUGCUGUGAAAACCUAAGGCUCAACCUUGGGCUUGCAGUGGGUACGGGCAGACUAGAGUGCGGUAGGGGUGACUGGAAUUCCUGGUGUAGCGGUGGAAUGCGCAGAUAUCAGGAGGAACACCGAUGGCGAAGGCAGGUCACUGGGCCGCAACUGA
rnacentral:rRNA from 1 species